ensembl:lncRNA
UUUUUUUUUUUUUUUUUUUUUUUUUGGUUCUUUCAGUAGAUUACAUUUACUGAUUUUCAUAUGUUGAACCAUCCCUGAAUCUCAGGGAUGAAUCCUUGAUCAUGGUGGAUGACUGUAAGGAUAACUUUCUGCCAAGCUGCCUGAGCCCCGCCACCACGUGGGUGCCCAAAAUAGCACGUGGAGACUUAUAUUAGACUUAUCUGAUAGAGGACACCGGUGGCAUGUGUCUUCUCUUUGCCGGGCUAACAUCGCAACUCCAGAGAAGAGAGGAGGAAGAAGAGAGUGAUUUCCUGAUUGUCCCUCCGUAUAUUCUGAGUCUGCCUGCUGUAUCACUUCCUUCUGGGAUCACAAGACUUCUCUUUACUGUAUUUCCCAGAAUCCUCCUUGACUCCUAGUCCUGCCUAACUUACUUCCCUGUUGGCAAACAGUACUUUAUUUAUUUAUCAACCAAUAAGACAAACAUACACAGAAGGACCUCCCCCAUCAGAUGAUCUUUUUGAUGUGUUCUUGGAUUUGAUUUGCAAGUAUUUUAUUGAAUAUUUUUGUAUGUAUGUUUAUAAGGUAAAUUGGUCUGUAAUUCUCUUUGUUGAGUCUUUAUAUAAUUUUGGUAUCAGGGUAACAGUGGUCUCAUGAAAUGAACUAGGCAAUGUUCCUUCUGUUUCUAUUUUCUAGAAUAAUUUGAGGAGUAUUGACAUUAACUGUUCUUUGAAAUUAUGGUAGAAAUCUGCACUAAGAUGACCUGGCCUGUUUUUUUGUUUGUUUGUUUGUUUGUUUGUUUGUUUGUUUGUUUUUGAGACUUUCAGUGACUGUUACUAUGUCAUUUGGGGUUAUAUGUCUAUUCAAAUUGUUUAUCUGAUCUUGAUUUAACUUGGUAAGUGGUACCUAUGGGAAAAUUACCCAUUCUUUUUUACAUUUUCCAGUUUGGUGGAGUACAGGAUUUUGAUUCUAUGGGUUUCCUCAGUGUCUAUUAUUAUGUCCCCCUUUUUGUUUUUGAUUUUGUUAAUUUUGAUAUUUUCUCUCUGCCUUUUAGUUAGUUUGAAUU